UACGUAGGGGGCUAGCGUUGUCCGGAUUUAUUGGGCGUAAAGAGCGUGUAGGCGGCCAGAUAGGUCCGUUGUGAAAACUGGAGGCUUAACCUCCAGCUGUCGAUGGAAACCAUCUGGCUAGAGUCCGGAAGAGGAGAGUGGAAUUCCUGGUGUAGCGGUGAAAUGCGCAGAUAUCAGGAAGAACACCCGUGGCGAAGGCGGCUCUCUGGGACGGUACUGACGCUGAGACACGAAAGCCAGGGGAGCAAACGGG
rnacentral:rRNA from 1 species